ACGGGGUUAUUUCAGUCCGGUAGAAUACGUGCCUUGGACGCACGUGACGUGGGUUCAAAUCCCGCACCCCGUACUA
rnacentral:tRNA from 1 species